GCCUGGGCCCGAAAAGGCGCUCGCGCCCCCCCACUUGUUGACGCUGUGCGCAGACUCCAAUUGUUUUCCCUCAGCCGCCGUAAAAACCGCAUGCAGCGUCUUCGAUCUGACCAUCUAGCUGCGCACGCGCAGCCUCCCUCUCAGUCUCUGCAGCGCUCGCGCUGCCUACGCGUUGAUUGUAACAACAGCAACAAAACAUCAAUGUGAUAGCAGUAAAGGACCACGAGGACCCCAGUCAUGCCAAAGGAUCCUUGAAGGCAAUGAAGAGUGCUCUACACAGGUGCCUUCACAGACAGGUGUGGAGUGCUCUCAGUGAAUCUUUCCAGGUGACCAUGCCUCCACGUGCCAGCGAUCCCUAGUAUGGAGCAAUGGCGAGGUGCUGGACCUCAUCAGUAUUUGGGGGAAAGAAGCUGUCCAGUCCCAUCUGUGCUCCAGCUCUAGGAAUUACGAUACCUUCAGGCAGAUAUUGAGGGACAUGAUGGAAACGCACUGCAGUGCAGGGUUAAAGUGAAGGAGCUGCGGAAUGCCUACUGCAAAGCCCGCAAGGCAAACAACUGCUCCUCCAGUGCUGCCCCCGCAACCUGCCGUUUCUACAAAGAGCAGGACACAAUACUGGGGGCUACCCCACAUCCACGCCAAGUACCACCAUAGACACUUCAGAGCCCAGUUCAACAAGGGAAGAGGAGGAGGAGGAAAGCAGCAGUGAGGGUGCUGAGGAGGAGGAAGACACCUAGGGAUGCCGGCAUCCCUAGAUGCAUGCAGCCAGGAGCUGUUCUCAAGCCAGGAGGAAGGUAGCCAGUCAUGGCGGCCGGUGCUUGGAGAAGGACAAGCACCAGAGGAGAUGCAACCUUGAGAUCUCAGCUGUCCAUGUUAUCACUGGCCGAAAGACACCAAAGAAUUAGGAAGAGGCCAUGUAGAAGCAAAGAAGACCUGCUGCAAGAAGUAAUGCAGCAGUUCCUUAACCAGCAGCUGCUCCAGGCACCAGCGCUCCAAACAUGCGCCUGGGGCGGCAAGCCGUGGGGGGCACCUGGCUGGUCCCAGCGAGGGCGGCAGUCAGGCAGCCUUCGGUGGCUUGCCUGCGGGAGGUCCGCCAGUCCCACGGAUUCGAUGGCAAUUCGGCGGCAGGUAUGCCGAAUCCGUGGGAUCAGGGACCUCCCGCAGGCAAGCCGCUGAAGGUAGGCUGCCUGCCGUGCGUGGGGUGGCAAAAAAGCUAGAGCUGCCCCUGUCCUUAACGAGAAUCUAAAAGCGCAGGAGUGGAGGGAGAGUGAAAGGAGGAUCCAUCAGUAGAAUGAGUAGCACCAGCACAAAAGUGCAGAGCUCCAGUAGCAAAGCAUCAUGGAGCGCCAAGCGGACUCAAUCCAGGUGCUCGUAGCCAUACAGGUGGAGCACUACCGCCCCCACCCCCUGCUCCUCCCCUGCUGUCCUUACUCUUUCCCUUGUGCCUCCAUGUCACCUCCAAGCCACUUUCCCCAACAUCCAGGUUCUUAUUGCCACCAGCUGCCUCUAACACCUGUAGCUUCACCACCCAGCCCUGAAAACUAUGACCCUUACCCACUGCACUCAUCCCCCAUCACCACGGAUUAUAGCCAUCCUGAAGUGUAACACUCACUGCACAGCAGUCCAGACAGGAAGGCUGAGUAUGAUAACAGGAAAUAUACAAAUCUGUGAUUGUACCAUUCCCCACCCCACUCUCUUGCCCUUUCUGUUUCCCAAGCAAUAAUGCUUUUCAAUAAAUGAA